UUUUUUUUUUUUUUUGAGUUUUAGGUUUUAGUUGAAAAAUGGCAUUCCCUUGUUUGUGGAAUGUUGGGUUCAAAUUUCUCAUGGGUUAUGAUCGUCAGGAUCCUAGAAAUCAUUAGACCUAAUUUGGUUGCAACUUUAUUUGAGUCUUCUGAAGAAAAUAGAGUAGGACAUUUGAAGUUUUACUCGUUUGAUCAGUUGAUUUCUGUUUACAAGGUGAUUUUUAUUUGAUUUGAAGUUUGGAACAUGUUUGAAAUGAUUCCAAAACUUGAUUGAUGACAAACUCAUGUUGUAAAUAUUUUGAAAAUAACUUGUCUACAAGUUAGGCUGAAAAAUAUGCAAAAUCAAUCGGGGGAAGAUGAUGAAUUCGAUUGAUUCCAGCCAAAUUUCGAUAGGAAAGUUGAUCAAGUACCAAAAGGGAGUCUUUUUUUUUAUUUGUAAGGGAUCAAAAUCGCUCAUUUUGAUUUUAAUUAGUAAUAUGUGAGAGAGGAUGGGUGCAAAUUUUUCUUGUAUUUUUGAAUUUGGAAGUUAAAAACCUUAUUAAAUUUGAUUUUUUAUUCCUCCAAUUUGUGUUUUGCAUUUGGAAGUUGUAAAUAUGUCGAAACGACAAUUUGUUGAAAUUGUUUGCUGGAGAAAAAAUCAAGUAGAAAUGAAAGAAAUUAACUUUAUUACCAAUUUUGAGCUAGUUUACAGUUUUAAACAAAUAUUUGUCUGUUCCUGAAUUGUGGAAGUCAAAGCACGAAAACUUCCGCCCUCACCUGGCUUUCGGUUGACCAAUGUUUUUUAAAACCGGACCGGACCGGGCGGUUCGACCGGUUGAACCGCAAAUCGGCCAUGACACCGGUCCGGUUCAAUGACAUUGUUGACUUUGCUAGAAAACCGGUCAAAGAUCGGUUGAACCGUGAAAACCGCCGAACCGGAUUGAACCGACGAUUUUCCCCUUUUUCAGAUUUCCCCUUUUUUUUUUUUUUUAAGUUUUGCAAAAUGCAACAAUCAAGAUUCGAACCCAAGACCUUUGUAAUAAAAGACCAAUGUAUUAAUCGUUGCACCAUCACAUCUUAUUAGUUUUUUUUGAUAACUUAUUUAUAUAAAACAAACACUCAUAUUUCUUUUUUCCAUUUUUCUUACAAAAUCUCAUCCCCUCAUGGCUCUUUCUUUUUAAUUUUCAACUCUCUCUCUCUCUCUCUCUAUCCUCUUUUCUUUUGUCACUCCUUUUUUUAAUCAAACCUCUUUAUUUUUAAUUUAUUGAUGUUUUCUUCCAUCUUUUAAUUUUGUUUUUGUCCAUUAAAUUGAAAAAAGUUAAAAAAGAAUUUUUUUUAACUCAAAUUAUUUAAUGCCACAACCACUCACUUUUAUCUUAUUUUUUGUGUCUUAUCAAGUUUACAUUUCUAUUUUCGAUUUUCUUGAUUUCCUUUGAACUUCAAAUUUUCUUUUUUAAAUUGCAAUCUCUAAAUCCCAAAACGUAAAUUAAAAUUUAAAUUCAUAAUAUCAAAAUUCUCAGAGACAUGAAUUUUGUAUAAUUUCAAAAUAUUGUGAUAUUUUGGGGUUGGAUUUAGAUAUAAUUGAAAUUGAGAUGAAAUUUAUUUGUUUUAACUUAUAAUUUAAAAAAUUUAUUUUUAAAAAUCCAAAUUAUUAAAAAAUAGUAAACUUUUCAUCAUAUAAAAUAUUAAAUUAGUCCAUUACAUGUCUUAUUUUGUACAUAUAUAUAUUUAUAUAAAUUAUUUUAAAAAAAAUUCAUUGAACCGAGGUUGAACCGGUCCGAUCGGUUGAAUCUCGACCCUUUCACUUCACCGGUUCAAUUAACGAUCCGAUUUUUAAAACAUUGCGGUUGACAGGUCAGCAAGCAAAUGUUAUUCAACCCAUGGUCAGUUAGCUGACUGUAUAACAUACGAUAAAGAAACCGUGCCUGUUUAACAAGCCAAAAGGGUGACGUGGCUUUUCAAGAACCACACAACCCAUGGUGGGGUCACCGACCGUGCUCAAGAGUUUGCCCAAAAAAAAAAACUAAAUUUUAACAUAACUUAUUUACUGUAGUCAUCUUAUUGUAAUCGUCUUAGAAAUUAUUGUAACCAAUGAGAAAGCACACCUAAAUUAAGAAAAAAUUAAGCUAUUUUUAUUAAAAUCAAGAGAAAUUAUUAGAUCUUUUUAUGCAAAAAAAAAAAAAUACCAUCUCUUCUCAACCCAAAAAAAAGUUAUUAAAAAUUUCUAAACACGAAAUGUUAUCUUUAAUAAAAUCUUUACAUUUUUCAGGAUAAAAUUUAAAAACCACAAGAUGACACAAAAUUUUAACACUAAAUCGCUCCUCAUGUUUUAUAGGAGUAUAUAAAAAGAUUGUCUUAGGAAAAAAUUUGGUGUAUAAACUACAUCCACUUUACAUUUACCAACUUAUAUUACUUUCUUACUUUACAUCUUUAAUUUUGAAUGAUUUACACUCUAAAUUCUCAUUCUCGACAUUUUGCACUUUAAACUCUCAAGUUUGUCCCAUUUAAAUCUAAUUAAUAACAACAUUAAACCAAUUAACGAAAACAAAAAUUACACAAAUUAAUGACAAUAUGCUAAAAAUUACUAUUAAUUAUACUUACAAUUUGGUUAUACUUUUAGGGGAGAAAUUUGAAUCCAAUAUCAGUAUAUUGUCGUGGUAUAUAUAUAAUUAAAAUUUAUUUAUAAUAUCAUUAUGAUGUCAGUAUAUAAUUAAAAUAUAUUGUAUUUUAUAACAUCAGUAUAAAUUGUCAUACUCCCGAACUAAUCGAUCGAACCAUUAACCCCUGACAAUUGAGCUCUAUCGUGUUGUCAUCCUAUCCGCGUUUCAUAAGACUGGUUUCCCUGCCUAUCCUAGUAGACUGCAAGGUAACGCAAGAAUAAAACACGCAUGCAAUAACAAGACACAUUUGUCUCGUUUUACCGUCUAAAUUUCCUGUCAAACAUAUUUGGGAAAAUGAGCAAAUUAUCAGGAUGAUCACUAAACUUUUGCAAUCGUGAAAUUUUGGCUAAUGAAUUAUUAAAAAUCUGAUUUUGACCAUUCAAAUAUCAAAAAUUAAAAUUCGAGACCACUCCAUUAGGUUUAAUCGUUAAGUAUGUCAGAUCUAACUUUCCGUGCGAUUCCUAUGACAAAACAGAUGGGCAAUUUAGGAAGUUGCACAGACAAUUUAUUUUGUCCAUUUUUUAAGCCAACACUGUACCCACACCUUCCACCGGACCUGGUGCACUCAUUGCGUAUACUAGUAUCCGCCUUCCAUCUGAUGUCGAACCCUUGCCGAAGGACUUGAUCCGAGCCAAUAAAAUUAACGGAUCCUCCAUUACCCAUUUGAAGUACCGGAUAUACCACAACCGCCCUCAAUUUCCAGGACCAACUUCUCCAGGCAAGACAGAGGCAUUAUUGCUUCCAUUGCUCCCACAGGAAAGAACGUUGGGUAAAUUGACUAGACAGCCAUAGAGAGACGUGAUGUUUAUAUAACUCGCGGAGUAAUCAAACAAGGUGUAAUCUAGAGUCAUGUUUACUAAAUCAGUAGGACAAUUGUCCUUCAUCACAUCUUCUCUAGUAACUCUCAAAGUCUGGGUGGUUGGAUGGAUAUCCAAGACCCACUAUGUCAUGUUCUUGAUCUCAAGUCUUGUAACAUUACUGCUCUAAUCGCAUCUUAACUCUAGCCCCGGAUAGCCACGGUAUAUAUGUUGGAUCUUGGUAUCCCCGGAAAGGACAUCCUAUUCCAGCGAUGCUGCCGCAGCUGAAUACAUUCCCACAGGUCUCAUAAAACUCUGCCAGAUUACUUGAAACAGGAUGAAGUUGAAGAAGUAUAGAGGCGAGAAAACAGAGAACAGUGGGGAACGACUGUAAAGGGCUAUGGGAUUUCAUUUAUUUCGGAGGAGAAGAUAUCAUGAGAGAACAGAUUUAUUUUGUAAAGGAAAUCGCUAGCCACCGAUGUAGUUGUUGGAGGGAGUAAAUUUAAGAGUAGUUAGAUCUUGAUAAUCGCACGAGUAGUUAGAACUGUCAUAUAAUUAACGAUUAAAUCUAACAGAAUGGUCUCGAAUAUUAACUUUUGAUAUUUUAAUAGUCAAAACCAAACUUUUAAUAAUUUAGUGGCCAAAACUCGAUGAUUAUAAAAGUUUAAUAGCCAUCCGAAUAAUUUGCUCUUGAGAAAAUGGCAAAUUUAGUCUCUAAUUUGUAGCCAAUUUGAUUCUUAAACUUAUAUUUUGGUUCCAAUCAAGGAACUCAGCAGCAGCGCUACCGCAUAAUUUCCUUUAGGCUCCUAAUCAAGCAAUCUAGAAGAGGUAUUUUAGGAACUUCAAUGCUGGAAUUGUAACAAAAAUUAACCAACAGAUUAGUCUUGUGAAAAAUACCCGAAACCCAAAACAAAAACAGAAAAUUUUCCAAGGCUACCAAAUGGUGCUGGUGGGGUUGCUUCCAUGCUCCAUGGCACUACUUGCAAAUUCUAGCAAAUUCCCUGCUUCAUGGCACUGCUUGCUUCCAUCAUUCUUGAUGAACACAUACCACUUUCCUGUAAGCCGUGAAGCAGCAAUAUUGCCAGCUUGUUUGGAUAGAACAGGACGGAUAGUCAAAUUAAGAAAAUUGGUAUUAAGAUCCAACCAAAGCAAGCCAUGGCAAUCCUCUAAAUCUGCAGGAAUAUUUCGAGAUAACGAGUUGUUUUCGAGCUUUAAAAUCGCAAGAUUUGACCACUAAACUGGUUAUUUGAGAGUGAAAUCCAAUUCAAAUUCGUACAAUUGCUGAGACUAGCAGGGAUUGAUCCAUUCAAAUCAUUGAAAUCAAGAAUCAGAUUUUCUAACCUCUGCAAGUACAUCAGCUCUUGUGGGAUUUCUCCAUAAAGCUGAUUUAACCAAGCAAUCAAAUCACGAAGCUGAGAUAAUGAUUCCAAUCUAGAUGGGAUUGUCCCAGUCAAGUAGUUAAAACUGAGAUCAAGGGAUUCCAACAUGGAACAAUUACUCAAGACUCUCUGGUAUUGAACUAGUGAACAAAUUAUUCUGAAGAUACAACACUUUCAAAUUGUUCCUGGGAUCCUGACAAAUCCCAGAUGAAAUCACCCCAGAGAGAUUGUUAGAACUCACGUCCAAAGUCUCCAAACUGACCAUCUUGGACAAAGAUUCACGUAAAGAACCAAUGAAAUUAUUGAAUGGCAAAGACAAAUUCUUCAAGUUACUCAUCUUCACAAGGGUAUCAACAGGUAAUUCACUAGAAAAUUUAUCGUUUGAAAUAUCAAAUAGUUUCAAAACAGAGCAUGCACCAAAGCUCUCAGGGACGUUACCUGACAAAUUAAUGUAGGACAACACUAACUCCACCAAGCUUGGACAUAAAUCAGACAGGUAAGGUGGUAAAACACCCUGAAAAUCAUUUCCUCCGAGGUACAAAAACCGCAUAACCCCUCCAGCACCACUUGACAGCUUUGAAAAAUUUUUUAUUUUUGUUUUGGAUAUUUCUCACAAGACUUAUCUAUCGAUGAAUUUUUGUUACAAUCUCAACAUCAAAAUUUUUAAAAUACCCCUUCUAGGUUGCUCAAUUAGGAGCUUGAAUGUGGCGUUGCCGAGUCCCUUGAUUGGAACCAAAAUAUAAGUUUAAAAAUCAAUUUGGCUACAAACAAUAUAUAAGGACGAAAUCGACAGAAAAAAAAAAGUUUAAGGACUAAAUUUGCUCUUUUCCCAACAUAUUUAUAACCUUUUUCCAUUUCCUUUUUUAUUUUUAAAAUUCAACUGGAAAAAGGUAGAGUUUAAAUAGCAAAAAAGAACUUUAAAUUUAAGAUUUCUAAAUUCUAGAGUCUCAUACAGAAUGCUUUGAGCAUUACUUUCGAUGGUUGACGGUGUAGCAGGCGCGACGGCCUUUGCGAACGCCCAAAUAGGUGCAACUGCGAGAAAAGUUUUCCCUGCCUAUUUUAGUAGACUACAGGGUGACGCACAAAUGAAGCACGGCAUGAAAAAUACAAGACACAUUUGUCUCAUUUUACCGUCAAAUUCCUUGUCAAACAUAUCUAUGACCUUUUCGAUUUAAUUUUUUUUAAAGCAGAAAAAGGAUAGAAUUUAAGAAAUAUGGAGGAGAAAGGAUGAUUUGAACUCAAAAUUUCUAAAUCACGGGACCUCAAUUUUAGUAACUAUACCCAGAUUUCCUCGAGAACCUGUUCCAUUCACCUCUGGAAGCUUGAAUAACAGCAAUCUAACUUUAACACAAAGCAUAAACUUGACAAUAAAGAGUAACCCACAAUUCAUCUGAAGGUUAGUGUACAAGUAUGCAUGAGAGAGAGAGAGAGAGAGAGAGAGAAAUCCACAAUCCAUCUUGUGUAUAAGAGAGCACGGGCACAAACAUACAAUUGAAACUAUUAGAAGCUAAGCACAAAAAAUACUACAGGAUUUAACCGUUAGCGACAGGAGUUUUCACAGGCAUUCGAUGAUAGAAUGAGCCAACAUAGGCGAAAAGAGCUAGCUCGGAACCGUUAAAACACACAUCCAGCAAUCAACUUAGCCUGUAAAACAAAAGAAAAGUUGAAACAAAGAAAGCAAACAAGCGUCAGUCCCUCACAGAAGUACAGAAUUGAAGGCUAACCAUUCAGUCUACCAAGAAUUCGCCAAGCAUCUCGGAUAGUUACUUUCUGGGUAUGGGCAUCUCAUGGAAGUGAAGAACUAAGAUAGAAUAGGCUGGGGUCGGUGGACCAUUUGUGAUGCAGGAGCACGUUUUACAUUGAAUUUCUUUUUGCUCAGGAUGUCGUUAAUUAUGCUUUAUUGCUUAUUGUUGCAUUAGUUUUAGAAACUAUCUAGUAUAGCUGGUGUACAUGUGCCAGUCACGUGCCCCACCACGGGCAUUGUGGCGUUUUGACCUUUUGGGCAAUUAUGUGUUUGCAAACCUAUGAGCACCCAUCUUACACCACCACAAGAGUUAUUAAGAUCAGUUAUUACCAAAAAGUUGUGCCACCUCUAUCAGGCUGUUGUACUGCAUAGAAGCAAAAUCUACUGCGGCCAGCUAAAUUUCCUCCUAGUUUGGCAGUUAUAGCAGCAAAGUUUUGUUUGGGUAGAGACUACAUGAAAGUACUCUUAUGGUGUACAACAAUAUAUAAUCAACAAAAAAGUGAAGUUUGAUUACAAGAAAUAUAAGAAUUUAUAUGGAGAUUUCAAACGAUUUACAAACCAAAGAAUAAUAUCUCUUCAUCAUGCAGAUUGGAAGAUUAAGCAAAAAAAAUUUUGACAUAUUAGUUUCAAGAUUCCACCGAUUCAUUAGUAAAAGAACCAGUAAGCUAAAAGAAUACUUCCAAGUUUCAGGUACCAAAAGUGAAUGCGGCGAGAUGUAUAUCUUCAUAAUUAAAUUAAGGGAUUAACAAGACGAAUUUAAAUGGCAAUUACCCAGUGCUCUUUAAGAGGAUUGUGCAGGGAUUCAUUAAUCUGAUGGAACUUGAUUAACUCAUCCCUGUAUUGGCCCACCUUAACUACAACAUAGUAAAAGUUGAGCUCCUCAUUUCGAUCUAAUGCCUCCAAGUACAAAACAUAGUAGAGCCCAUCAUCAUUAUUGAAUUUGCUUGCUAACAACACCUCCUCAAGACGAAUUACAUCACCCUGUCACAACCACAGCACCAAAUUUAUAGAAGUAGGUUGGGACAUUAGUGGUCACUCAAGCUUACAAAUUUAGCCGAGUUAAAAUGACACACCCCAUAGAGAGAGAGAGAGAGAGAGAGAGACCUCGUUCUCAUUGUGAGUCCACACAGCGAAUGUAGCAUACUGAUAGACCUGUUCAUAAGCCUUAAUGUCAUGAACAGGGACGACCACAUCACUUGCAGCAGUAGGAAGAUCUAAAGCACCUUUGGGACAGAUAUCAGCAUUCAGCAAAGAUUUCUCCAAGUUAAGAAUUUGCAUGGGUGAAGGAGAUAUAGUGUUCUGACGAAAUACUGAUUUUCUGCGCAAAUGUAACAAUUUACAAAUAUGAUCAGCCAUACACACUGAAAGUGUGAUGGUGCACACGGUAAAAUCACACGUUCAAUGAAAGAAACCAUGCACGUAAUAGCCUGCAUUAAGCUAAAAACAUUCAUGUCAACAAUGGGCAACUACAAAAACAGAAUUUCAUGUUCACAAUGGCAAGAACACAAAAAAUAUAUAAUAUAAUCACAACAAUCUAAUAAUAUUUACCGCUAUCAUGCUGUAUCUUUAUAACUGAGGCUCUUCCUUGGAACUGUUCUAACUACUUGUUGCAUGUGUAACUCAUGCAAUUCUAGUGCUUCUAACAAACGUUCAUAUUUAGGCUUCUAUGGAAAGACAGGAACAAUAGACCAUUUACUGGAGACAGAAGAAUACAGAACGGAUGCACAAAUAAUCAUGGGACACGAUAUUUCAGGAUAACUACUCGAGGAUUACAUAUCCUUUGCUCCUCCUGCAUCAUGGAAUUAACCACAUUCUGAUAUUUUGGCUGCACCACCUUGCCUCUUUAUUAAACAUUCUUCACCAAAAUAUCAUCCAGAAAAGGCAAAUAACAAGCACAUACCCAAAGAGAGAACAUACAAAGGAGGGUUUAUAACAUAUGAAAGGAGAUGACGAAAAGUACCAUGAACAAUAAUAAAUGAGAAGCACGAGCAACACUUACAUCUUGUUCUUCUGGGCUUCGUCCAAGUCCUCAUCCUCUCGUUGUAUCUUUCUCAACAGAAGUGUACUAAAUCUUCUAGCUGCUUCCUGUAGUUGUAGCUCACCCACAUACUGCUUGCUGUAUCUAAGGGCACAAAAGGGAUGACAUACAAUAAACUUCAGUACUUUGCCCAAAAAAAAAAAAACCUUUCCAUUUCUUUAAUCGCCAACAAUACAAACAGAUUCUACGGAAAAAGGAAGCAAGCAAACAUAGUCUUAAGUAGCAACAGUCUAAUAACAAGAUUCAAGCCGGCAACCAAAAAUACCACUUAUGGCAAGCAUUCCAUCUGGCCAUGCUGUCAGGGUUGCUAUAGAUGAAGGGAAAUGGAAUUCAACAAAAAAGGAGAAGAACUGAUAAAGAAAAGACAGAAGUAGAAAAAUUGGAUCAAGUUAGAGUCCAUUGCUAGAUAUGAGCAAGCUGAACUCCAAAUAAUGUUGUAACCCCCUUUUGUUUUGUAGUAAACACGUUCAAAAUCAAUGAAAUGGAUACACCAGCAAAUCAGUCCCAGUCCAAGACUAACUCCUAGCUACUAAACAACUGAUUUCUUAAUAAAAUACACAAACCCUUUUGUGAUUGGGUGGUGCAUGGUAGAAAAGCAAAGGGUUUGUAUGGAUUCUUUUUUUUGGGGAAAAACAUGUAUUCUAAACACAAGUCUACAGCAACACCUUUCAUAACACCCUAGAGACACCUAACACACACCAAAGGAUAACCCAAAAACAUAUACCGACACAUACACAUCAUCAUCCCUUUUCCCUUUACAGCCCUCCCCCUUUGCCACCAGCAGCGCCCAACCCGCUUCAAAAUCCCAGCAACCCCUUCCCCCCACCCUUCCUCCUCCUCCCCCUUCCCUUCAUGACCAGAUUGGGGACCCAACAGUAAGUCAAAAAUUUUUAUAAACACCCCAAAAAAGUUCAAAACUUUAAAAACACCCAAAAUAUACCACAUCAAAAAGGUCUUCAACAAAUACAAAGUUUUCAAAAACACACCCCAAAAACUAUUCAAAACUUUGAAAACACCCAAAUUUUUUUUUUUGAAAAAACACAUGUAGGGUAACCUUACCAAAAACACCCAACAUUUUAUAAAAAUACCCAAAAAAUACAACAAAAAAAGCCUAAAAUACCUAAAAACACCAAAAAAAUACACUUACAAACACAUCACCGCCCUUUCAUCCCUUCCGCCACCUACCCUCCCUCAUCCCCCUUCAUCCUGGCUUCCCUCCUUCCUUCCCCGCGAGCACCCCCCCCCCUCAGCGCGCCUAACAUUUUUAUAUAAAUAUAAACUUACAAACACACUUACCAAAAACACCCAACAUUUUUAUAAAAUACCCAAAAAAUCCUAAAAUACCUAAAACCACCAAAAAAAAAACAUACACUUACAAACACAUCACCACCCUUUCAUCCCUUCCACCACCUACCCUCCCUCAUCCCCCUUCCUGCUGGCUUUCCUCCUCCUUCCUUCCUUCAGCACCCCUCCCCUCCCAGCCCUAUUCCCUCGCCAAUGUGGACAGAACAUAUCAGGACCACAUCUGUCCAGAUUAGGUGUGAAAAGGGAAGAGUGAUGGAGAAGGGGCCUUUUUUUGGGGUUUUGGAGAAGGGACAUUUUUUUGUGUUUUGGCUUUUUUUUUUUUGGGAGGGUGGGUGGGCACCAUCUUUAAAGACAUUCCCAGAACACCACAUCUAAUGAUUUUAUGAAACACACCUAUAUUUCAAGUUUUACAUCUCAGAAAAACCCAUCCAAACAGACCUUUAUUUUUUCCCUUUUUGUGUUUCUAACACGCUAAUACACCCUGAGAUGCAGCUUACCUAGAUUAGUAAAACAUGGAUGAGUCCCAUAGUCCAAACUGAUUGAACACAUUUGUCUGGCCAAUUAAAAGUUAAAAGAUGCACAACUUUGACACUACUUAUGCUUGACCAAGUACCUAAUUAAGCUAACUUAAUGCUAUGAGAAAACCACUAGUUCGUAGAAUCAGCAAAGUGAAAAAAUGUAGUAUCCCACUACAAGAAGGUAAAAGCAAACCAAGUACAUAACAAGAAAAAAGAUCAAAAUUUGCUUGGAAAGCAAAAAAAGAAACAACUAUGGAAUAUUGGCACCAUAAACCCAUUUAAGCAAGGAUUUCAACUAAUCAAGUCUACAUGUUAUGCAAAGUCUACAUGUUAUGCAAAUGCACAAUUCACUAGAAUUUAGACAUUGGCCAAGGAAUCCUCUUUUUUUUUUUCACAGGAAACACCAUAGUAAAUGUAACAGGGACUUAAAUGUCCAUAUUAUUUGUCUCGACAAUGCAAGAAAAGGAUUGAAAAAAAAAUACUUAGAAACACAUUUAUCAAAUUUAUACAGGAAAAACACUUUCCUUGGACCAUUUUCAAUCACAAAUACCAAAAGGACAGAAGCCACUAUCCAAUUCUCUAGUUGUAGCUCUCGACUACAGAACAUGAAAGUAGAGAAUACUUUCUCAAAGUAGUAAAUGGAUAAAUCUUCUCAUAGACCACACACUAGUCCAUGAACUGCAUCUUAAAAUGAUUUAUAGGCAAGUAAAUGAAGCUAAUGGUUGUUUUCACCUCUUUAUACCUUCUCCUUAGAAAUCAAUUACAGCUCUCAAAACUCGAUUAGCCUUAAUCUCGCUAACACUGAUAUCUUUUGGUUGCAUCAAAAACACAAAGUUUGCCAUUUGACAUAGCUGCUCAACCCGCAUGCAAUAACCAAGAAAUGGAAGACAUCCAUAAGAUGGCAGUAUUAUUGUUAUAUGAAUUAGCCUCAAAAUGAUUAUGUAAAAUUGAUGCUGCAAACAUUGACUUCAAAGGAAAUUACCUUUUUCUUUUAUCAAGUCUCCUAAAACUCUGUUUUUGGGUACCAUUUGCUCAGUAAUUAAGUUUCACUAGUAUAUUUCUUAUGAACGUAACACAAAUCGGUGCCCAUAGCACCGCCUAACACUAACAAAAGUUAAAGCAUUUCUGUUAACUUGACUUCUAAAACACAAGCAGCAUUUAUAAUUUUCUCUAAACAACAUCUUCCAAGAUUUCAGCCUAUUAUGUGUCAAUCACAUGCUGAAACGCUAGUCACGUGUAAGAUUUUUCUGCAAAUGUUUCAGAUUUCCAUGUUGUUCCUUCUUUCCCAGGCAAUAUACCUUUUGCUUGCAUUUCUACCAUAAUGGGAGCAACCCUCAUACCAAGGGCGGAUUUUAGGUGGGGACACUGGGGGCACGGGCCCCCACUGUCCCCCUUAAAUUCCUAUAAUACUUUUAUAAUUUUAAUAUAAUUUUAAGUGUGCCCCCAGAGUUUUCUUAAAAAAGAUGUGAAAGAAUUACGUGAUUUUUUAAGUUAGUUCAUAAACUAAAAUUCUAAAAAGAUACGUAGGGCACAAAUUCCAUUUGAAAUAAGUUACAAAAAAUCUUUUCAUUUCAACUAGCAAGUACCAAUCAUAUCAUUCACUUUCUUUGGGCUCCACUCUCCAAUUUUCCUUCCCUCCUCUGGGCCCCCAUUUUUCCCCCCACAACCGAGAGCCACUACCUUCCACUACCAAGCAGCUAGCUACUCUUUCUCUUGAUCAAUUCAUCCAAUCAUAUCAUUCAUUUCCUUUAUCCCCACUUCCCAAUUUCCCUUCCCUCCACUGGUCCCCCAUUUUCCCUCCACAACCGAGAGCCAUUCUUACUUCCACAACCAAAUUAGUUAUCAAAAUAUAAAAACUUCCAGUGAGCAAUUGUAAAUAGUUUAGUUUAUUUUUGAAAUAAAAUUAUUAUUACAUUAAUAAUUUUGAAUUUAUCUUUUUAUGUUUUUCAUGGAAUAUAUGCAUCAUUUGUACUUGUUGGUGAAAUUUUUUUUUUUUGCCUAAAAAACUAGAAAAAGAGUAGGUAAAAAAUUUUAGGUGGCGUUUGAUUCGCACAUCGGAUUUGGAUUCGGAAUCGUCCUUGGUUUGGAAUGCUGUCAUUCAUUCCAAUAUAUUUGUUUGGUUCAAGUACCUGGAAUGUGUAUCAUUACUAUAGUUGAUGUUUGGUUCGUCGACUCUUUCGGAAUGAAUAUAAUAAAUAUAUUAUAAAUCACAUUGUAAAUGAUAGUUAUUAGCUCUUUGUAAAUGAGAUAUAAGAAAUUUUCACUAAUUAAAUAUAUUAGUAUAAAUGUAUUAGUAAAUUUAGUCUAAUUAAUUAAUAAUUUCUAUUAGUAAACAUGUAUAAUUAUUAGUAUAAUUGAUAAUAUUAAUUAUAUUACAUAAAUUAAUAUACAUUAUAUAAUACAUAUAACUAAUAAUAUUAUUAUUAUAAGUUUGUAACUAAUUAAAUUAAAUAUUAUAUAUAUAAUUAAAUAUAAAUAUACAAAUUUUAUAAUAAAAAUAUAAUUAUCUAAUAUAUACAAAUAUUAAUUAUACUAAUAUUUUAUAUAAAUAUAAUAUAUAUUACAUAUUAAAUAUAGUUAUUAUUAUAUAUUAUUAUAUUUAAAAUAAUAAUUAUAUAACUUAUUAAUACUACAUACAUGCAUAUAUUAUAAUUAUAUGCACAUAUAAUAUACAUUUAUAAAUAUACAUAUAUAUCAUAAAUAUAAUAUUAUAUAAUAUUAAUAAACUUAUAAUAUAUAUUAUAUAAGUAUAAUUAUAUUUAACUAAAUAAUUAUAAUAUAUAAUUAUAUAAUAUAAUAAUAUCAUUAUUAUAAGUUUGUAACUAAUUAAAUUAAAUAUUAUAUAUAAUUAAUUAUAAUUAUACAACUGUUAUAAUAUAAAUAUAUAAUUAUAAAUAUAUAAUAUAUAAAUAUUAAUUGUACUAAUAUUUUAUAUAAAUAUAAUGCAUAUUAAUACUAGAUAUAGUAAUUAUUACAUAUUAUUAUAUUUAAAAUAAUAAAUAUAAAUAUAAUUAUAUAAUUUAUUAAUAUUAUAUACAUGUAUAUAUUAUAAUCAUAUGCACAUAUAAAAUGCAUUUAUAAAUAUACAUAUAUAUUAUAGAUAUAUUAUUAUAUAAUAUUAAUAAAUUUAUAAUAUAUAUGAUAUAAAUAUAAUUAUAUUUAACUAAAUAAUUAUAAUAUAUAUUUAUAUAAUAUACUAAUAUUAUAAUAAAAUAUUAUAAUUAUAAUAUAUUAUAAUAUAUAUAUAAUAUAUAUUACAUAUAUAUAAAUAUUAAUUAUACUAAAUAUUAUGUAAUCGGUAAAGAUUUUGGAAUCACACUUGGGUUUUGGACAAAACCCACCAUUUUACUAAGGAAUGGAAGGAUGUCAAGUUUUUAGAAAUCAUUCCAAAAUUUCAAUUCCCAUUCCAGUGAACCAAACACCAACUAUAGAGUUUAUUCUAUUCCUUCAUUCCGAUACCCUUUUACCAAACGCCCCUUAGUGUUAUUUUUGCCCCCACUAAGAAUUUUUUCUGGCUCCCCCCCUGCCUCACACUUGUGUUUGAUCACUGGUCAGACAUACCCUCACACACACACGCACACACAUGCACACACGGAGUUGAAUUAAAAAGCAGCAAGGGAGAAAAAGAAGGUAGAGAUUCCAGCUGAGAAAAAUGUGGAGCAGCAAACUCUACACGUAGAAUGCAAUAAAUUAACUCAGCAGCCAAGAGUCAAAACCAGAAGCAGCAAACUCUAGGAUUUUCCAGCAUUUUGCAUUUUAGAAAAGUGACGAUUUUGCAAAAAGUUUAAGCAAUAUGAGUAGACGCGUGUCUGCACAAGGAAAAGGCAAAUUAGAUGGUAUCAAUCAACGCUUAAGUGCAGCCCAACUCUUACUCAAAUCCAAGAAAACAAGUUCUGUCGCACAAAUCCUCUUAAAGGCUACCUAAGUUGGCAUUUUCAACCCGAACUACAAAAUGAAAACUGAAACAAACUCACUCUCAAUUGCAAAAAGUUCAUCAAAACCUCUCCAUUAGUUUCGUGAUGAGUAUUCCCAAUUUAAAGAUUAAAAGAAAAUGUCUUUAUUUGGAGACUACAACCAAAAGCACUCCAGUAUCGAUUUCACCCUAAAAGUCGAGAUGCAUGCAUACCUUAUUUCUUGAAAACGGUAAGAGAAGGAUUCAUUGACGAGCUGCCACUCGACCAAACGCUUGAUAUUUUUCAAGUGGCUAUUCUCCACUUCAGCAUAGUACACAUUCAGGUCACCUAGCUCGUCAACUGCCUCUAAGGUUAUGUAAUAAAAUAUGCUCAUGCCAACCCUUCUGGAGCUUGCUCUGACAACCCUUACAAACCGAACAGUAUCGCCACCUCCCUGACAUGUCGGCGCAUACAUGCAUUACAAAACCAUUAAAGCGUGAUAGUGCUAGGUGAUUUGAGGGGUCCCAGAAAAGAGAACACCAAAAUAAAAUCUCUCUUUUUUUUUUUUCCUUCAGUGACUUUAAAAAGGGCUAAAAAAAAACCUGGUCCUCAUUGUGCUUCUUCACCGCAAACUGGGCAAAUGGUGAGACCCGGUCGUUACUGACAGGAAUAACACAAUGAAACUGAAGGCAGUGCACCGUCUCUUCUGGCGGAGGGGGCGGUAGAAAGUAGUGACGGCAGGACUGUUUUGAGGACGGAAACCGACGGAGAUGAUUCUGGUCAAGGAUGAAGCCGCCGGUCAUACCACUGCCUAUCGCACCCAAAAAUCCUAAUUUACAUUUCAGUACAAGUUGAUACCCCAAUCCCCAAGGUUUAGCUCUCCCCAGAGCUACUCGAAGCGCCAUUGAUUUCACCCCCAAUCUUGUAUUCGUAGAUCAAGAGCAACACCAAUCCCUAGCAGCCGCCGCUCCUAUGACUCCUUAGUCAUUACUAUGGUAGAGUCUACUGUCUAAGCAAACUAAUUGGGCUGUAGUUGUGCGAUGUUUGGGUUGGUUGUAUAUGAAUGUGGAUUGAAAUGCUUUCGAAUUAUCAUUUGCUAAACGGACGCCCGUAAAUACAUACAAGCGCCGUACCCCACAAAAAAAAAAAAAAAAAACUGCUAUAACACGAUACAUACGUUACUUGUGAAAUCCAAAUUGACUGUUUGGAUAAGAAUUUAUUUUGCAUGAUUUAUUUGAGAUUUGAGAUAAUUACUGUAGCACUUUUUAUGAUGUGAUGUAUGUGAGAUAAAAAGAUGGUUGGAAAGAUAAAAAGGUAGUUGAAAUUUGUGAAGUAAAUUUUUUUAUUUGAAAUCAAGCCAAUCCAAACAAACGCCCCGAGCUUCGUCCCCAAGUUGGCCUCAAGAGUUACCAUCGUGGCUUUUGAGGUUAAUUUGAGAUUAGAUUUAACUACUAAUUCUUAAAAUUUCUGAUAAAAAGAAAAAAAAACGUAGAGGAAGUAUUUGGGAUUUUUGAGUGUUAAUUAAUAUCUAGCAGCAGCUUCCCUACUAAUUUUCCCGCAUGCCCACAUCGAUGUAAGGGGGUUUGGGGAUUGGGUAGAUAAAUCCCCAAGUUGACCUCAGGAGUUACCACCGUAGCUUUUGAGGUUAAUAUGAGAUUAGGUUUAACUACUAAUUCUUAAAAUUUCUGAAAAAAAAAAAAAGAAAGAUGUUGCCGAGCUUCCAUGAGCGCUAUUUGCAUGAUCGCAUCCAUUAUUUGGAAAUUGGAAAAGAACUUUUGUUUGGAUUACUUCACGGCUACAACAAAAUCGUUUGAGGCAUGUGCAGGGGCAUCAUGUAGGCGUGUAGUUUGCCCCUUUACUCCUCAGAGAGGAUGUACAGGGACAAAUUCGACAGGAUGUACAGGGACAAAACAAGCAAUAACACAAUACUGAAAACCGGAACUAGACUCUUAGGCCCUGUUUGGAAGCUUGGUUUUUUACCAAGUUUGUAUAAAACUAAUUUUUUUAAUAACUUUUGCUAUAGAAACCCCAAAAAAUUUAUCAAGAUUUUUAACCUACACAUUUAAAAUAUCCAAAACACAAAAAAAAAAAAUUCCCUUUCCCUUUUCUUUUUCUUCCUCCACCACCACCACCUCCAUUGCCGGCUCCGUCACCAAUUUCCGGUGCCGGUCUUUUUUUUUCCCCCUUUUAUUCCCUCUCCCCCUCUUCCUCCCCUGCCAUCAUCCUUUCUUGUCUUUUUUUUUUCUCUCUACGUCCGGUGCAGAGGGGGGUGGCGUAGAGGGGGGCGGCGAGGAGGGCAGAAGGAGGUAGGGGCGGCGGGGGGAAGGGGCAAAGGGGACGGCGCAGAGGGGGACGGCGGGGGAGAGAGGGAAGGCGGGGGAAGGGGAAGGGGCAGAGGGGGGCGGCGGGAGGUGGAGUUGCUGCUUGGGGGUGGCGGAGGUAACGGGGAAGAAGAAGAAGAAGAAGGAAAAAAAAAAGAGAGGAAAGAAAAGAAAAAGGAAAGAAAGAAAAAGAAAAAGAAAAAGAAAAAUAAAGGGAAAGAGAAAAAAAAAGAAAAGGAAAAAAAAAAGUUUUUCACCUUACAAAAACUUCUACAAAAUUUUUUCAAAAACUUCUACAGUGCACUACAGUAAAAUUUUAGACAAACUCCCAAAAACUCAGGUUCCAAACAGGCCCUUAAUGAAUACUAUAUGUUUUUAAUCUCAAAAUUGUGAUGCUUACAUCUCUCUUAAAUAUGCGCCUGAAACGGAGGAUUUUAAGCAGGGAUAAUUUCAUAAACCUCCCCUGAGGUUUUACAAAAUAUCACCUAGUUCCCUUGAAAUUUUUAAAAUCUCACUUAGCACUCCUUGAAUUGAUAUUUUGGUAAUAUUGGAAGUCCUUCUAACCAAAAGUAAUAUUAAAAAAUUCAUGUUUGAGGAGAGAGAUUAUUUUAGUGCCUUUAAUACCCUUAGGCUAUAAAAAAUGAACAUUUUACAAAUCAAGGAAAAAAAGUACUAAAUUGGAACCACCUUAAAAGUGAGGAGAUGAAAAUUAGUAAGAUUUUAUGUUACAGUCAAUAGUCACUUCUACAGUAGGAAGAGAUAGUAAAAGUAAAUACUAUUUUUUGAACCAUUUCUACAAAUAGAACCUUUCAUAGUGUUUAAGGUAAUUAGCAUGUAAAUCAUACAUUUGAGCAAAAAAAACUUAGUAAUAGAUGAAAUUCAACUUCAAUAUCAUACAAAAAAUUUACUCAAAAUAGACAGUUUUUUUAUGGGUAUGAAAUAUGAAAAUUUUAUUAUAGAAAAAGUCAGAAUUUGAAAAACUAUUUAGAGUUUCAAUAACUUUAUUUCUCUUGCGCUCUACAUGAAUAUGAAUAAAUAAAUAAAUAAAUAAAAUUAUGAAACACCGAAAAAGGGAAAAAAUAAAAAGAACCUGCAGCUAUUCUUCUUCAAAUGCAUUGAAUAUUUCAUUGAUUAAAUCCUAUAUUUCAUUGACACUUGCAAUUCAAUUAUACACACACACACACAUACACACACACACAUAUAUAUAUAUGUAUGUAUGAAUGUUUGUAUAGACAUUGUUAAAGAAAAAUAGGAAAUUUAGAGAAAGAAAAACAAGUUCAUAAAAUUUAAAUAUAUGAGGGUAUUAUUGACAAUUCAUCACUUUUGAUAUUAGUAUAUGACCCUACUAUCACUUCACGGGUACUAAAUGAGAUUUUGAAAAGUUUAGGGGAGGUAGGUGAUAUUUUAUAAAACCUCAAGUGAGGUUUCUAAACUUAUCCCUUUUAAGCAUUCUCAAGUGAUAGAGCCAGCACAUUCAGUCCAAAUAACAAAUCCAAUAAACCAGAAUUCAAGAAUCCGACAAGAAUAUGUCAAAGACAAAGUUCCAGAAGUUAUCUUCUUCGUAGCAAUGAAAAAAAGUGUAAAAGAAACAUUUGCUGGGUGGGGUGAAUCCAGCUAGGCUUAACUGACACUUUGGGAACAUCAUCAAAUGAUUUUGCAUACACCUUAUAGCCUUCUUUCCAGUCAAAUUUAACAAAUCAAAUUAGAUAAUCAACACACCAAAAAAAUUCAAAGAAGACUUGCAAAUAUAAAAUUCACCUACACGAUCGGAAGCAAUGACCGGUCCCAACUCCCAACCUACACACGGUUGAUGAAUAUAUCCGCAUCCUCGAAAACCCCAAUUCUUUUUUGAAUGAGAAAUGACACCUCCCCAUUAGAAAAGUAUCAGUCAAUAGCAACCACAGCCUGGGCACUUCUUAUUAAUUUUCCCUUGAAUCACGCUCAAAUGGUCUAAAGCCAUGUCAUUCUUAAAUAUACCCUGAUAAGAUGCACGUGAUACUUAUAUCUUAAUCUGCCAUUGAAAUAAUAAUCAAAUUGAUACUUUUUUUUUUUACUUACCCGUGUAUAACAGUAAAAGGAAUCGGAAACUAAUAUUACAAUUAUAAUUGGCUGGCAAAGAAUGAAGGAAGCUAAAUCAUUUGGUUCCAUGUCCGUCAGGUGAUAUGCUUGGACAAUGCUAGCCCUUCUCCCAUCCUAUAAUUAUAUCAAUAUCAAUUUUAUAUGAAGAGUCCUACAAUUAUAUCAAUAUCAAUUAUAUAUGAAGAUAAGAUGCAAAAAAAUCAUAUAUCUAAAACCAGAUAUCAGGAUAAGAGAUGAUGUCAAGUACAUGAAGCAACAUGGUAAAGUAAUUUUUGCCAGGAAGUAUACUAUACACCAAGUUUCAAUCGAAUUUCUGUUCUAUAAGAUAUUCAAUGAUCAUGGGUUGUGAUUUUUGUAUGAUUAGAAUAAAAAUGACCUUUCUCCAAUUGAAACAAAAAUAAAUGAUUGAAAUGAAUUUUUGCGUGUGGCUGUCCAAUAACUAUAGCUCUUUAGAUUGAAGUUUUGUUCAUUUUAUCCUAUUUUGUGAAAAUUAUUCUCCAAAUAAUAAUAAUAAUAUUAUAAUAAACAUACUAGUUUUCCCAUCCUAUAGUCAUCCCACAACACCAACCCUCCAUCCAUCAUAGCCCAUGGCAUUGCCUCGAAAUGAUUCAUAAAUAAUCGAGUUUUACUCCCAUCUUUAGUGUAUUUUUUAGGGUUAAUUUCACAUAUCUCACCAAGACGCUCACCAAAGUGAAUUUGGCGAGCAAAUUCGACUGCAGUAGUAAUAACAUUGGGAUCACAUGUUCUUAUUUAAAAAACACAGCAAACACUAUAUGAGAUUUACAUUGUAUUUUUUAGGGUUAAUUUCACAUACCUCCCCUGAGGUUUUUAACCAUUGCAGAAAACUUCCCUCAAUUUCUAAAAAUUAUACCUACCUCCCCUAUUUUCACUAUUUAAGUAACAUUUUAGACCCAAAAGGUUAUACUUUUUUCCAAAAUUCCUAUAAUGCCCUUUAGUUAUAAUUCACAACAAAAAUGUAAAGGAAAAAAAAUAGUUUACAGUUUCUAUCCAUUUAUAUUUAUUUUUUACCACUAUUACCUACUUAUCAACAUCUAAAUCACCACUAAAUAAACACUUAUUUUUGUUCUAAUGUUCCGCUUUUACCUAAAAAAUUCUGAUGCAAACCAUUGUAUAAACUAUAAACGCUACAUCAUAUAUCCAAAAAUUUACCUACAAUAUCAUAUUUUACUUAAUAUACUACAAUAUUCAUCAAUAUUUUAAAAUUUCAAUUCCAUGGUUGCUACCUUUUUAAUACAAAAUAAUCUAAACAAUCACUACUAAUAUCAGUAUCCAAUAUAUUAUAUUGGCACAGAGUUCAAAAUCUAUCAAAUUUUCUCUAUAGGAAUAAUAUCAAUAAUUGUAAAUAAAAAAAAUAGAAACACAAUGCAGUUAUAAAUAUAUAUCAAAAAUAUUUUUUUUCAUUAUAACCAUAACAGUAUAACCUAUAUUUAGUUUCUAUUCCAUUUCUUUCCUUAAUUUUUAUUCUUUAUCACUGUCACUAUCUUCAUCUCCCUCUAAUUUGAUGAUGAAAUUAACACUCAAUUUGUCAUUUGACAAUUUCAAUUUGUUAAUAUCUAUCAAAAAUUGGAAACAAAAAUGGGUGCAAGGAAAUUAUUUACUAAUAAUGGAAAAUCAAGAAUUGGGAAUAGAUACCAAGAUAUAUAAAUAUUGGUGGUUUAAUGUGUAUGGCGAUUUUAUUAUUAGCGACAAUACAUAUUUGGUUGAUAAUAAUAAAUAAAUGACUUUAAAAGAAAAAUAUAUAUAUGAGGAAAAGAAUAAAUAGUUAAAUAGAAAAAACAGUGGUUUGAAUUAUUGGUUAAUAAUAGAUGAGAGAGUUUUAAUAUUUGAUAGAGUUUUUCAAUGAGUUGACAAUUAAUAAAAGGCAUUAUUGUCUCUUUAUCACAACAAGGGAGGUCUCUGUAAUUAUGUAAACUUCAAGGGAGUCGAGUGAAAUUGUCGAAAACUUCAGGGAGGUUUCUUAAAUUAUCCCUAUUUUUUAUAUGAAAACCAUUGCAUAAUAACCCAUAGAUUGUAAAAAUUGUAAAAUUCUCAUGACGUGUAUUGUUUAGACAAUUGGCAAAUUACACCUACAUCUAACCUAUUAUAUAUAAUUUUUAUUGAUACAAGAAUUAAUGACUAACCUAUACUCACUGAUUUAUAACUUACCACCAAUCUGCCGUCUAAUUGGAGAUGACACACCGUGAUCAUGCCAUGAAAAGUGUUGGUCAUCAGUAGGAAUAAAAUUGCCACGAAUAAACUGAGAAUAAGAAAAAAAAAAUUACGUAAUGUAAGAUAGACUAAAUGCAAUAUUGGAGAGCAAAUCUAGUGUAAGUAUUUACUUGUAUCUUUAUUGACUUUGUUCAGAAAUUCCAGUGAUUUAUUUCCUAAGCACAGAAUCUUCAACAAUGUACAUUUUUGAGUGAUUAUAAUUGCAAAAACAAUCUAAAAAUGUUGACGAUGAUAGUAACUUGUUACAUUAGAGUUUAAGUUAUGACAUACAAAGUAUUAUGCUGUGACACAAAUUUUGACUGCAAUCCAGCCAUUUAGAUGUCUUACCCCACUCGUGCUGUAGCAGCGGGAGCCAGUCCAACCAUGGGAGUUUAUCCUUUCAGCAGGCUUUGAAACCAGCUGUGCAGUCAUCUAAACGAAUAAAAGUAAAAGUAUUAUUAAUUCAACAAGUUCAUCCAUGAUAAAUUAAAAGUACGAAACAAAGACAAAAGGUACAACUACUAAAAAUCUGAAAUUUUUAAAAAUUGAAAACAAAUGCAUCAAAUCAGAGGAGUUAAUCCUUCUCGCAGGCUCUGAAGCCAAUCGUGCAGACAUCUAUACGAAUAAAAGUCAAAGAAAGUAAACAACUUGAUUCAUCAUUCAAGGUGAACUUUAAUACAACAGAAAUAGUUCAACAAGUUCAUUCAUGAUCAAGGUGAACUUUAAUACAACAGAAAUAGUUCAACAAGUUCAUUCAUGACAAACUAAAAGCAUCAAACAAUGUUAAAAAAUGUACUACUACUGAGAAUCUAAAGUUGGAAAAAAAAAGCAUUAACUAAAAGUUUAAGAAUAUCAUUUAAGAAUACACAUGAAAAUUUGCAAAAUUUACACGAAUCAAUUUUACUUCCAAUCUAUAAUUAAAGUGCCCUCUAGUACACUCUAGAAUGUGGAAAACAAGUAGUACAAUCAAUCAUACUCCUUAUAAAAAGUUUCUUAGAGAAGCUUGCCAUUCAACAAUUGAUUGCAUUAACAGCGCUAUACCUAGAGAGACACUGCAAAUGAACAGGAUAUACGAAUGAAUGUAGAAGAUAUAUCUAGUAAAAGAAACAAUCAGUGAACAAUGUAGAACGAUAAAGCCAUAAAUUGGUAUCUAAUGUAUCAUACUCAAACUCCAAGAAGAAGCUGUGAGGAUGAUAAAACUUCAUUAAUGGUAAAUAUCACAAAAUCAAUUGAUUUAGGUAGGAUUUGUAAUACUAUUAACCAUAUACCUAAGCAGAUCUAUGCACCAAACCAGGUAAUUUCUUGAGAAUGUAAGCCAUCUUACCUACAUGCAAUAAAUUAACACGGUUAACUUUUGCAAUCAACUAAAGUUACAGUAGUCUCUUUUCAUUUCUGUUUACAAGGAAGUUACAGUCUUUUCUGCUGACAAUCUUUACUUUUCAGCUGUUAGUCAUCUUACGAUUCACAGGGGAUGGAUCCAUAAGGAUUAACUUAUCCCAAUCACAAAAAGACGGAUUUAUUGAUCCUCAAAAUUAAGCUAUUUUCUAUUGGAUAGACCAAUAUAGAGCUUUGAACAAGAUAUCAACACAUUCUAGCCACAUUGACAAAUUGAACAGAGCGUCCCUGCAAGCAUCCAAUUAUGCACUCCAUUACUUGCUCCUAACUUUGCUUUUGACCACCAUGAACACGUAAAUGCAUGCAUAUUCACCAACAUAUAGAGAGAGAGAGAGAGCAAGGACACAACAAUUGGCAAUGACAAGCAUAAUCGAAGAACUCGCAGACAGCAAUAAUGACCAUCACAAAGAAAAGGACUCAUUCAAGAAUCAAGAACAAAGAAAAGACCGACACUUGCAAUGAUGCGUUUGGAGGAGCCUGAAUUCAAAUUGAAGUAUAAUUAAUUAGUACUACUUAGGAAAUGGACUGGAUAGAAAUAAAUAAAUUUGUACCGGAGGGUUGACCAAAACCUAUCCGCUAUAGUGUAGAGGUUUUAAUCCACAAUUAUUUAAGGGGAAACAAGUUAAGCGUUAAAAUUGCAUAAUCUGGGGGUCGAUAAAAUUCCGAGAAGUUUGUUUUGCAAGUUUAUCAAAUUCAAUCCAAUCUUUUCCAGCUCAAUUGCAUUUCUAGGGUUCUUUCUUUCUUAUUUGUCAUUUUCCUUUUCUUUUGGGGAAUCUAAAAGCCCAAAAAAAAAGAAGAGGGCACGAAAAUAAGUACUAUAACCACUGGGCCAAUGGUUCAGUGCCCACCAGGGAGGGACUUAAGUCACUCCUUGGGCUGUAGGUUGAGGGUUCAAACCUCACCUGCAGCGAAAAAAAUCUAAGAAUUGUGCCAUAACACUCCCUUGGUCUAGUUGGAUCUGUAUAUCCACUAACCCCCAUCACAGCCUCUUUAGGCUCCCCCUUCCCCUAGAUUAGGAUAGAGUAGGUUAUACAAAUGUAUCGAAAAAAAAAAAAGAAAAGAAAAUAAGUACUAUAUUGGACCCGACCCGUAUUCAAAUCUGCACCUCCCUAAACUCCGCGAGCAGAGCUCUGUCCCAGUUUACAACACAAGUCCCCAAAACCUAAUCGUAUCCACGAACUCUUCACUCUUUUACCCUGAAUAUCCCUGACCCAUCCCUGCAGAAACGAAUCAGGGAGAGAGUCGGCGGCCAGGACCCUAGAAGGCGAUGGAUCGGAGACGCCGGGAUUCUGAUCACGAUCGAGACCCCCACAAACAUCACCGAAGUUCUAAAGAUAAGUCCAGAGACGCAGCCGAUGACGACCGCCGCCACCACAGUCAUCGUCGUUCAAAGCACCGCGAUGAAGAUGAUGACCGGAAUAGAUCCGAACGGAGAUCGUCGCGAGAGUAUUCUUUGGAUAGAGAUAAGUCAGUUGAGCCGAGGAAUGAGGAGAGGUCUGAUGAUCGCCGUAAGCGGGAGAAGUCCUAUGAGAGGGAGGAUUCAGUGGAGAGGAAGCACACUAAGAGGAAAGAGAGAGGGGAGAGUGAGGAGUAUGGGGAGAGAGAUUAUGAUGGAGGAACCAAAAGAACUAGGGUUUUGGAGGAGAGGAAGGAGAAGAGAAGGCUUGAGGACGAUAUGAAUGGAAGAGAGAAAGAAGAGAAGAAAGAGCGGCGGAGAUUCGAGGAUGCUGUAGAAGGGAAGGAAGGUAGGGAGGAAAGGAGAGAGAGGAGGAGGUUUGAGGAUAAGGUGAAGAAAGAGCAAGAAGGGAUGGAAGUUGAAAGGAUAGAAGGGAGGUUUGAAGAGAGAGUUGGAAAGAAAGAGCCGAAAGAUGAGCUCCCCGAUAAUGGCGAUCUCGGUGCUGGUGAUUCUGUUGCUAACGUAAGUUCCCUCCCUUCUUUACACCUUAUCUUGCACUGAUGCGUUUGCUUUGUUACUACUGCCUGAGUGGUGUUGUUUUAUGAUUGUAGUCCCUGGUUUUAUUUGGAACAUGUAUGCUGAAUUGAGUUUCGAGUUUUUUGGACUUUUGGUGUUGAAUAUGUGAAUCGUGAUCUUCUAUCUUAUGGUUUUCAAUGAAGAUAUGUUUGUUGCUCAUCUUAAAAUAGCUAAAAGAAUUAUAAAAUUAUUUAUUGUAAUUGGAUAUCACUGGUGCAUGGGUAUGGGUGUUUAAUCUUAUAGGCCUUCUGUUCUAGAAAUCCAUAGCAAGUUUGAGUAGCAAACUUUUUGAAACUUGAUGAAAUCCAUAAUUAUGUGCUUAAUGUGAAUGUAAAGGUGUGCUCGUGGAGAUGGACUUGUUUUAUUUUGGGUAUCUGGUUGAUAAUGUCUGCCUUUUCACUACAUCUUCACGCUGUACUCUACUAAUUACAAGUUUGGAAAGCCUCUUUGUGAGUGACGCCAUCCAUCUGAAUUUUAGGCUUGAUUUAGGAAAUGACUUAGUGUUAACUCCUUCAAUCAGAAAAGAGAGAAAAUGGAAGAGAUUUCCCAUUUAUUGACUGUUAAAUUAGCCCAAAAUGUGGUGGAGGAAAUGAUUGAGUUGCUGCUAGUGAAUUUACUCCUGUGAAUUUUGUUAAUCUGAUUUAUGUCCGUUUCCCAACUCUCGUAGCAUCUAGUCUUUCCUCUGCAACAUCAGCUGCUUUCUCUUUCUUAUUAAGAUCUAGUGUAUCCAACCUAAUAAAAGUGAGGAGCGAGAGAUGAUCGGGUCUCCAUAGAUUGCUAGUAAAACAAAACUGAUCCUGGAACAUUUUUCGUUGGCUCUCAACCUGGACUUCUCGAAAAAUAGCUAGUGUCAUUAGCUAAGAUUUAUUACUGUGCUCACUUAGCAGAAAAGCAAAAGAUUGUGAUGGUGGUGUAAGAAGGUCUUUGUAAUGACUGUGAAGGAUGGUAGACAAGCUGAGGGUAUCUACUUUGUGGCAACUUUUAUUAUUUUUAUUUUUAUUUUUUUGUGGUUUCAUGAAUUCUCUGCUUGCUAGUCGUACUACUUCGGCUUGUUUCUUCUGUUUUUGUCAUUUUUAUGAACUGUAUUGUGUAUUCACAUCUUUUUUGCAUACGAACUAUGUAUGUAGGAUAUUAUUUUCUGUUUGCUAGUCGUACUACUUCGGCUUGUUUCUUCUGUUUUUGUCAUUUUUAUGAACUGUAUUGUGUAUUCACAUCUUUUUUGCAUACGAACUAUGUAUGUAGGAUAUUAUUUUCUUAAGCAAUUAUUCCCUUGCCUACUGGGUGAAAAAUAUAUAUUGCGUUGGCUGUUGUUUGUAAUGUCGUGGUUCGUACUUUAAUUUCUGAAUUGACUUUUUUUUAUCGUACAGGGUGGUGCAAUGGAAUCAUUUGAGAUGACAUCGACCACUUUGCCUGAAUCCCAUUUGUAUCAUAAUCAUUCUCCUGCUACCAAGGUAUCUUCAAUUUCUACCACAAAUGAAAAUAAGGGAGUUAAUAUUAACAGAUCUCAUGAGGUUCCUGGGAAAUCCAGUACAGAUGGAACAGCUUCAGACGCUGGAAAGCUUGGGGGCUUGUCUCGUGAUGCUUUAGAUAAAGCAAAAAGAGCUCUUAAGAUGCAGAAGGAGCUUGCAGAAAAGCUUAGGAAGAUCCCUUUGGUGAGUAGCUAUGAAUCUUGCCAUGUGUUUAGUUUACGGUUUUCAUAGAAUAUAUCGUAUUUUAUGUUUUUCUGCACUGUCAAAGCAUUCAACGACAAUACAUGUUUGGUGCAUUUUGGAGACUUGUUCAUUGAAUAGGAAUUGGUUGAAUUAAUAGAUUAGUAAUGAAAGGAUUAUGUGAGUCCUGAAUUACAUGACAUUGUCAAUUUUAAUUAGGAUGGUUUAAAAAGUGGACCACAGAAGUGAGUGCUGUUCUCUUGAUAAUUCAGAGGUUUCUCUCUCUCACACACACAGAGGCACACAAAUAUAAUUUAAAAGGUUUACAAACAGUUGCGAGAGAGGGCAGGAAAGGUGUCAUUCUUGGCUAUAAAAGAAUUCAUAUAAUCUACUGAUGUUUAUUGGGUAUCGGCUUUAAACAAUUUCAAUUUCUUUAUGUAGUUAAACAAGGCUACUGGGGCAACUAGAGAGAGUACUCCGCAGUUGGGACCAAAUGAGGGUCACAUAGCUCCUUCUAGUAGUUCAGGAAUACUUCCAACUCCUGCUGCAUCGGUAAGAUCUUCUAGCAUGGUAACAUCUGGAGCAACGCCGAAUGCUUCAACUUUACCUGCUGCUGCAGCUGCUUCAAUUGGUUUGCCUCAUCUUCCUGGACUCAAUCAUGAGAGAUUUGAAGCUGUUAAAAAAGCCCAAGAGCUUGCUGCUAAAAUGGGAUUUCGACAGGAUCCAGAAUUUGCUCCUCUUAUUAAUAUGUUCCCUGGACAGAUGCCACCAGAGGUUUCAAUCCAGCCAAAGCCUGCCAAAGCACCCGUGCUACGUUUGGAUGCUUUGGGAAGGGAAAUAGAUGAACAUGGGAAUGUAGUUAAUGUGCCUAAAGUAAAUAGUUUGAGUACACUGAAGGUAUGUUAUGUGCUCCGAUCUUGGGUGAUGAUCACUUGUCAGUUCUUUUAUUUUUGAUUUAACACCGAAUCCUUAAAAGGUUUCUGCAUUUAAUCUAUGCAAUUUGGGUCUUUCCAGGUCAACAUCAACAAGCAGAAAAAAGAAGCUUUCCAGAUUCUGAAACCUGAGUUGGAAGUUGAUCCUGAGAAAAAUCCUCAUUUUGAUCCAAGUAUGGGUAUUAACAAAAAUAAGAUUUUGAGGCCCAAGAGAAUGACUUUCCAGUUUGUGGAGGAAGGCAAAUGGUCGAAAGAUGCAGAGAUAAUUAAGUUAAAGGUAAUCCUUCUUAGCUGCCUGGCUUGUUUCUGUUGUUAAUUUCCUCCAUGAGUUUGAAUCGAGUUCUCAUUCUUUUUGUGAUUUGAUGUUGUAGAGUCAAUUUGGAGAAGCUCGAGCAAAAGAGUUGAAGGCAAAGCAAGCACAGUUGGCUAAGGCCAAGGCUGAGCCUGAUAUAAAUCCUAAUCUGAUUGAAGUGUCAGAGAGGGUGAUAAUCAAGGAGAAGCAGAAAGAAACUAUUCCAGAAACUGAGUGGUGGUGAGUUGAAAGUUCUGACUGCAUGACUUCGAUACCUUCUAAAAUCUUGUUUUUGUUGGUACCGUUUUUCCUAAUUGGAAAAAUAGGAUUUGCUGGUAUUUUUAUUGUGGAGUUUGGUUAUUUUGUACUCUGUUUUUUGACUUUGGGGCUUUUUUCUGCCUCACCAUUUUUGUAUCCAGCAUGUAUUAGUUGGUUCGAAUUUUGAGGUACUUAAUACGCCUAGAGGAGCUGAACUAUGUGGAAAUUUUACAUUUUCUUUUUUAAAGUCAUAAGCUUCAAUGAUGGUGGUGAUGCAGAAUAACUGUUCUAUAAAUUUCUUCAUCUCUGCGUACAAUUACCUAGAAAAGGAAAAUCAGUAGUUGGAACCUCUUAAAGACAUUGAAUUUUUUUUUUGGGGUGGGAAUCCGCUGGGGGAAUAAUGCUACCUUCCUUUUGUUUUAUUUGCAUAUCUGAAGGUGGUUGGAAAUGGGCAUUCCAACUGUAUCAAUUCUGUAUAAAUAUCAGAGAAAGAAUUAAUAUACUGGGAAAAAUUGCAACUUCAGGUUGUUUGCUUCUUUUUGUUCUGGUUUUGUUAUGUUGUUAGAGUUCUUAUCUUUCAUCUUUGCCUCAUGCUGAAAUUGCUUGCUUAAAUUGCUAGGGAUGUGCCUAUUCUACAGUCUGGUAGUUAUGGCCACACCAGUGAUGGUAACUUACCAAUGGAGAAACUCAAAAUGGAGAAAAUCACCAUCUACGUUGAACACCCUCGUCCAAUUGAGCCUCCUGCUGAACCAACACCGCCCCCACCUCAACCUUUAAAGCUAACAAAGAAGGAGCAGAAGAAACUUCGCACCCAGCGGCGUCUGGCAAGGGAGAAAGAUAAACAGGAGAUGAUUAGGCAAGGCCUCCUAGAGCCUCCAAAACCGAAAGUUAAAAUGAGCAAUCUCAUGAAAGUUCUAGGAUCGGAAGCUACCCAAGAUCCUACCAAACUUGAAAUGGAAAUCAGAAGUGCUGCAGCUGAGCGCGAACAAGCUCAUAUCGACAGAAACAUUGCACGUAAACUCACUCCUGCUGAGCGUCGUGAAAAGAAAGAGAGGAAGCUUUUUGAUGACCCAGAUAAGGCAGAGAUAAUAGUCUCUGUUUACAAAGUUAAUUAUCUGUCACAUCCACAAGCUCGUUUUAAGGUUGAUGCUAAUGCUCAUGAGAACCGAUUGACUGGAUGUGCUGUAAUUUCUGAUGGUAUCAGUGUUGUGGUCGUGGAAGGUUGCCCCAAAUCAAUCAAGAGAUAUGGGAAGCUUAUGCUAAGGCGCAUAGAUUGGGCAGCAGCGGUGAAAAAUGAAGGGGAAGAUGAAGAUGAAGACGAUGGUGAAACACCUGCUAACAAGUGCAUGUUGGUGUGGCAAGGUAGUGUUGUUAAACCAAGUUUUAAUAGGUUUUCUAUUCAUGAAUGCCGGACUGAGGCUGCAGCUCGCAAGAUUUUUUCUGAUGCUGGGGUUUCUCACUAUUGGGAUCUCGCGGUGAACUUCACAGAGGAUCAAAUUUAAUCUGAGGGUCUCUUUUUGGCUAGUUGAUGGUUCCAUUCUUGGUUCUCUCUUAUUGUCUGAGUUGAGCUGUUUACUAGGAUUGUGUCCUUUAAUUGCACAGGAUUGAGCUUAACUAGCGGUGACAUGCAGAGUUAUUAUGCCAAGUUUAAUGAUGUUUGGUGACUUAUAGACGAUUAAGCCUUGCUGGUAGUUGUAUUUCUCUUGCAAUAUCUUGUUUGUUCUAUUAUGGAAGUAUCAUUGUUGAAAAUACAUGAUUUGGAUGCAUUAUUUUUGGGGGGAAGGUUACAUUAAUGUUGCUUUUGGUUGCCUAUCUGCCCACGUCCAUUGAAUGUACAAUUUAAUAUUUGUGCGUUUUGUCAGUCUGAUCUCUUCUAGCAUUCAAUUUUGCUUGUCACUGUUUCCCCCCCAUUAUUCCUGUGAAUCUUUGAAACUUGUAAAUAGGCAGAAUUUCUUCAGUAUUCCAGUCGGAGUAGGUGCCAUUAUACAGCGGGGAAGCCUUAAUCAAUAGGAGUGUUGUGCAUGUGCAUGCUUUCGUCCAAGCGCACGUCUUUUGCUGAUUUUGGGAAAGGGCGUAGCAGUUACGCAAAAUCUUCUGUUAGUAUUUUGUAGUAUCUUGUCUACUCGUUAUUACUUAAUGACAACUGCAAUGUUACUGCUGGGAGAGAGGAUGAAAAUGAGGGAGUUCUUGUGCUUGGGUUUAUCACGGUUUCUUGCUGGCAAGGUAAAAGGAGGAGCAUGAUUCAUGUGGAAUGAAUUCCCUUGACGAAUGUUGGUAUGUUUGUAUUGUAUGGGCCAGUGAAGGACCUACCGGUGAUCUUUCUAGGCCAAGGAGAAGUACCUUUGUGGCCGAGUGGAAGUUUUUUGUUGUGGUAGAGCAAGUGGUCCUUGAAUGGGAUUCAAUUCUUUUGGUCGGUGUUGUUUUAACUUACGGGCUGUCCAAAAGCCUAAAAUUACUGUUGUGAAAAGCUCCUUGGAUCAACGACUGAUUCCAUUAGUUAUUCGGGGAAAGGGGAAAAAGAAAGGUUUUAUUUAGUCAUUAUCUUACAAAUUGAAUGAGGUAUUUCACGAAUUUCAUUGUCAAAGUCCUAUCAUACGUAAAAGCUUCACAUGAUGUGAAUAGACAUUGCAUCACAAGAAACAGCAAUGGUUUUUUUGGAGCAAAUGUUUUGGGCAAAUGCACGGUCGUCGUUUAAAAAUAUUCACUGCAAUAUGCAGUUACGUUUCGAGUUAGGAUGAAGGGUGUGUGUUUUGAGGCCCCCUUUUCCCUUUCACUGAAAUCUGAAUUCAUAUGGCAUCGAGAUGGUAGGCUCCAAGAGUUCCAAUUCUGCCUGCAUGUGCAACAAAGAAUUCACCGGAUAAACGAAAGUAGCUUCUCUCGGUCUGUUACAUUCGAGGGAAUCAACAUUCCUUUCCUCUUGUCAGAGUUUGAGAAGACAAAUUACUCCUGAACGAAUGAAAAGGCAAACAGAUGUUUCUAUUGCAUGGUGGGAUUAAUCUUAUGCGACAAUCAACUUUUAAACAGUAACGAGUUUAGGGUGAACUUUUUUACAUAUCAAUAAUCUUUGUCCAGUUAAAGUUUGUAUAGUCGCAAUUUAUGCCGACCUGAGUUUUGCCAUUAAGUCAAAAUUUAUGAUUGCCUGGUGAAUUAACGCACGGGCACUCAAUACUCAAAUUUUAGAUAAUUACAGAUUGGCAAAAGGAUAACAUUUUGAGCUCCAAAAACUCGUCGUCAAAGUGAGAAACUCCCAUAUGGGUUUUGUUGGAGAAAGAAAAAACAAAGAAGCACCCCCAAGAAAAUGGGAGACUUCGACCCAAGGAGUCGAAUUUGUGAUCAGGUACAGCCAUUCCCACUUCCCAGUCCUUGAUUGCUUAUUUGCUCAAGGCUCAAGCAAGCACAAUUCAUGACCUUCAAUUCUUCUAGAUUGACUUGGGUUUUAGAUGCCGUUUGCUUUGCAGGUGAGUUAGCUAGCAAUUUGGUAGGACCUGACCAGGCCAGACCGCCCUGCAGUCUAUAAUAUCUGCAUUAACCGCCGACCUUUUACGUACCAAAAAGUGCAGAAGGAAGAAAAUUCAAUAACUUUGUAGUGCUGGCCUUUAGUUCUUCAUGCUUCCUUAGUCAUAAUUAAUCGUUAUUCUGAUUUCUUAGACUGUAUUAAAUGCAGACAAUUAAAUUAGCACCGUAUAGCACGAUGAACUCACCCCCAAAGUAUAAAAACAGACUGAUCCUAGUACUGCUCCCCAAAAUGCUGGCAGAUUGUGAAAUGCCGGGUUAAGUUGAUUUUUGUGUAUCACUUGCUAAGUAAUUUACUGGUCCUAUUUGCGUUAAGGGAUCAAAGAAAGAGUUUAAUUUUAGUGUAAGCUCCUCGUAAGAUUACCUAUGAACUCUAGCGCGAGACUUUAGUUCCUGAAACUAUUUUCGGGUAUCGGAAUUUUCAAGCUCAACUUGAGAGAGGGAGAGUUGGACUAACAUUAUCUUUUCACUAAUCAAAAGCUCUCUUUUACUUCAUUUAAAUCAGAGGCAACUUUCAGUUCAUACUUAAUGUCGUUGAUAUUGAGUCAGGAUGUAUUUGAAUGAGGUAGAAAUACAUGUCGAUGUCUAUACAGAAAAUCUUGGUGUGGGCUUUACCACUUUCUGCAUUUGAUUGAAGUAGAUUUUCCUGUUACUGUUAUUUUCUUUAAACUUCUGGUCAGUUCAUCUAAUGCAAAAUUUCUCAGAUAGAGACAGUGUCAAAGUUUGUGCCUAAUUGUUUGGAUGAUGUCAAAGUUUGUGUCCUAAAAGAACUCUUAACAACUAAAGCAUAGUUCAGGCAGCACAGGCAUUUGUCACGUAGCAGUGUAGAAUUGGUAAAACUUAAUUAUAUCCAUAAGAGGGGUAUUAAAUGUAUUAAUUUGCAAAACAAAAGCAAGUAGGAAACUGCUAAAUUUGGGCAACUGCUAUUUUGGCAAUGAAAGGGUGGGAUACUUUGCAGUUUCUAUGGGUAACUUGUAAGAUACUAAAAAGCAACUUUUUGAUGGAUAAAGAUAUACUGUAACAAAGAAGUUAAAUCAGAUAAUCUAUGGUUUAGGUAUUUGGUUAUUCACAAAAGCCAUUGACUUGCAGUUUGUUGAUUACUUGCCGUUUUUAAGUUAGGCUAAUUAAGUUAAUUGGAUCGGCUGUCAGAUUAUCAAAAGAUGCCAAAAAAAAAUCUGCAACUUGUAAGUGUAUGAUAAAAAAAAUACAGAGAUUCUAUUUUUUAAAAAAAAAAAUUUUCCAACAAGGAAAGAGAGAUAGGAUUUAAAAGUGGGAGGGGGAAGGAGAUUGAAGUUCAGGACUUCUAAAUUCUGAGGUUUCAACCUAUAUAGAGAUUCUAACUAUAAAAGAUAUAUUCAAAUUCUCUUUAUUUUUUUUGGUAAAACUUCCAAAUUCUACUUCUCAAGAGGUUCUUUUUAUACGAUAAGGGGUCUCAUAAGUUGAAUUUUGCUUAAUUCGAAUCAAUUUCUGUAACUUUUAUAACUUUUAGGGUCCGUUUGUUUCGGGUGAAAAUGUUUUCCAGGAAAAUAUUUUCCUAAUUUUCUAUGUUUGGUUGCACAAAAGUUACUGAAAACAUUUUCCUAUGUAAAAUAUUUUCACUCAUCUUAUGGAAAACAACUUCCCUUCCAGACUUACUGAAGUUGUUUUCCGAAAUGCAUGCAUCCCGCCUGUAGUAUGUUCCAAACUUACUGAAAACAUCUUGUAGUAUGUUUUUUUUUUUUUUAGUGUAAACAGGAGAACUCGAACCCAAGACCUCUUUCUUACACUCCCUCCCCCGUACCACCCAACCCUCCCCCUAGUAUAUUCAAAAUAAAAAAAAACCUCAUCCUGCUCAUCCUAUGCUAGUAAUUAAUUAUGUAUAAUAGGGACAUUCUUUUCUAGAGAAACUUUCAGUAGUGAAAGUGCAAGAUAUAUGUCACAAUAAGCAUUGCAUGUGAUUGAUAUUUGACACUAAAUGGCCAGCAAUUUGUUUAUUACUUAAGGAGAUAUUUUUUAUUCAUAUAUACCUUUCUCCAAGAUUUUUUAAAGUUAAACAAUGAGAUAAAUUUUCUUAUUUUGCAUGGGAAGAAGUAUGUAGUUAUAAUGUGUAGAAAGUAAAGAUAGAGAUAAAAGUGAAAAUAUUUCAAAAGUUAAACAAACACCAGAAAAUGAAGUAAGAAAAUAUUUUCAAUAAGCUAACCAAACACCUGAAAAUGAUGAAAGGGAAAUGAUUUUCAUGGAAAAUUACUUCCAUGGAAAAUAUUUUCCCAAGGAAAACAUUUUACUUCCAACCAAACAGACCCUUAAUGUAAAUUCGUAUAAUUUGAGAUUAAAUUUAAAUUUAUCAACUCAUACAACUAAACUUAUAAUUACACUAAAACUCUACGCACUAAAUAUAAUAAAAAUUACAUGAUUUGGUUUGAAUUGGAUGGAAUUCAACUUAUGAGGCCUUUAAUCCCCUUUUUAUAUUUCACCAAAUGCCAACAGGGACUCGUAAUAUCCAGAAAUGCCCCUAGUACUCAAGAACAUUUCAAACUUUACAACUAAUAUCUUAUGAAGUAAUAUCAAUCUUACAAUUUUUUUUAAUUGCUUUUCUUUUCUAAAUUUUUACUAGUUCAGAUAGCAGAAAAGCGUGCGCGCGCACACAUAUAUAUAUAUAUAUAUAUAUAUGUUUUGUUUGCGUAAAUCCAUUCUGAUAGCACUUCAAAGAAAGGAAGGAGUAAGAACAAGAUUCAUCAAAGCUAGACAUGAUCAGGUAACCUUCAUUCUAGAAUCGAGCUUAUCUUUAAGCCUUCACUUUAAAAUCGAGCUUAACUUUAACCAAGCUUGGAGAUUUUACUGGCUAUGGCUAUUACUUUUAGUUUAGGUAGAACUUUGUUAAACUCGCUUUGCAAGACACAUUUGUUAUGAUUCUUGGCUUCUAUGAUACGGGACAAAAAUGAAACUUUUAAUACAAUAUGUACAGGGAAAAAAAGAAAAUCGUUGGUCCCCGUAACCUUGUCCAAUGGAAAACAAAAGAAUUACCAUAUCAUUGUUAUCUCAAGUACAUGUACAUUUUUUUUCCCCUCUCUCUCUAUCUUUUGAAUAAAUUAACAACUGCAAGUAGAGUUAGAUUUCAUGUUGAACGGAUUUUGUUCCAUAUGAUAUAAUCCACAAAUUUGGGAAGAUAAAUAUGAUAUUUCUAGUCUUUCAUAAACUGAAACAAGAAAAAUAAAAGACGUGCGAAAGAACUCUGAGCAGAUAACAAAAAUCAAUUAGUGUUUUUUUUUUUGUUUGGAAAACUAUAAACAUCACUUAAAUCGUUUUGUUUGUGAAGAGUUGUUACAUUACGUGCUGAGAAAAGAAAUAAAUGGGAAUUGAACUCUUGGACUGGUCGGACCAUUAAUUAAUGGCUAUAUAACUUCAACCAUAAGACUUUGACCUUGGUUUUUGUCCAAAUGCAUGGUUUUGGUUUCACUUCUAAAAUAUUUGCGUCCUUUUGAUGAAAAUGAAAUCAGUCGCCCUCCUUCGUUGAUUAUUCCGGUUUAAUACGGUCCAGAGUUCGCCAACAAUUUUGAUUAACCGAUGCAACUGUUUCCAAACUUAAAAAUUUUCAAAACAUUUUGCGUUAAACUUCAAAUCCUCCAUACUUAUCAUUGCCUAUUGACGUUCAAGAAAGCUCUUUUGAAAAAUUUAGUUUUGGCAACUUUAUUUAUUGUAAUUUCUAAUCCACCGGAUAUGAGGGGAAUGAUAUAUAGGCGCUAUUAAAGCUUCUUCCACAUAUCUAUUAUGUGUUUUUUUUUUGGGGCCGUAUUUAAGCUUGUUAUUUUUUACCUAAAAAACAGUUCCGAGUGUGUCGGAAGAAACCCUCUGAAGUGAACCAGUACCUUUUCCGUUAAAUGCUAAUUAUAUAUAUAUAUGUAUUACCUUCUAAUUAUUGUAUUUUUUUUUAAAAUUUUUUUUCUAAUUGGGAAAGGGUAGAAUUUAUAAAAAUAAAAUAAAUAUUACUUAACGUGUUUGGACUCCUGAAUCCUUGUCAAAAAAGGAAAGUAAAAAAAAAAAAAAAAGGUUCUGGAUUGUUACCUCGUCUAGAAGAAAUUGCAUAGCACACAAUAAUAUUAAUAUUAAUAUUAAUUUUGUGAACAUAUAUAUGUUCAUUGCUUGUAACUUGGAGACCAAACUCCUCAGUAAAUCUAUACAUUUCUAUAGCAAACUCCAAACAGUAGAUUACCAUCCACACCUACCUUCUAUGACACCAAAGGCAGCAUGGAUGGCAUCAUAAACAAAGAAAACAAUCCCCAAAUCCCACGUGGCAUCACCCCACCAAAUAGUAACCCUCCACGUACCCCACCCCCAAACUCCCUCCCUCCUGUAAAACCAGACGUGUAGAUGAAAGAUUAGGAGAUUUAGGUCACCUCACCCAUCCCACCCUCCCUCUCCCCACCCACAAACCCCUAACCCUAUCCACAAGAAACAAUUGAAUUCUACCUCCAUUCCUCCUUCAAGUAAAGUAAACUAGUAAUUUAUUCUUCCAAAUUUUCCUCAAAUCCCAACUAUAAAUCCACAGCACACCUGUUGACACAAAUCAAGUCUACUCUACUCUCCAAACGUACGUAUAAGUAAGCAACCCCAUAAAUGCAUUUCCUACGUACCCCAACGCAGCCAUACAACUCAUUAAGAAAAGUUGGCUAAACCUUCAAAAAAGAAGGAAAAAAAAAAACACGCAGUCACACACUAGCCAUUUUCUUAGGACAGUUUCUUAGCAGUACUGCUCAUUUUCCUUUCUCACUUGCCAGUUUGCCUACUUAUACUCCAUAAUGACGACCACCCAUCAAUCUUAGACAGCUCAAACAUUUCUUCUAUUCAUCCCAUAUGUUUUCGCCUUCUCUAUAAUUGCUUCCCCAUAUUUAUAUUUAUAUAUAUAUAUAUAGCUCGCUCUCUUUUACUCUCAGCGAAUACAUAUAUAUAUAUACAGGGGAACUCUAUAUCUAUUGCUAAAUGUUAAGAGAAAAAAUGUCGAAAAUAGUUGCGGAAAACAUAUCGCCCGUAAGAGACUGCAUGCCGACGUUUGAUCGGAGGCAGACCGUGCAGAUGACCGCUGCGGGCGCGUCUCCUUCGCCUACGCUUGGACAACUUCUGAAGCGCGUCGGCGAUGCUCGCAAGGAAGCCACCGGUGACGAGACGCCCGUGCACCAGGUUCUCGACCUCAGCGACCCGGGCAUGGAGCCCCGAUCACUUCCCUUCGUGCUCUCCUUCACUAACCUGACCUACAGCGUCAAAAUCAGCCGGAAAAUGGGCCUGCCUGCUAUAUUCAGCCGCAGCCGCCACCAUCUUCCUGCCACCACGACUGCAACCGAGCCUACUGACGGAGAGACCCUCUUCACGAAGACCAAAGUGCUCCUGAACGACAUCUCCGGCGAGGCGCGUGACGGCGAAAUCAUGGCGGUGCUCGGCGCGUCUGGAUCUGGAAAAUCAACUCUCAUCGAUGCAUUGGCCAAUCGCAUAGCCAAGGAGAGUUUGAAAGGAACCAUCACUCUCAACGGCGAGCAGUUGGAGUCGAGGCUGCUCAAGGUCAUUUCUGCUUACGUCAUGCAGGACGAUCUCCUCUACCCCAUGCUCACCGUCGAGGAAACCUUGAUGUUCGCGGCCGAGUUUCGCCUCCCACGAACGCUCUCGAAAUCCAAGAAGCAAAUGAGAGUUCAGGCCUUAAUUGAUCAACUAGGCCUCCGAAACGCCGCCAAGACGGUGAUCGGAGACGAAGGCCACCGCGGCGUUUCUGGCGGGGAGCGGAGGAGAGUCUCCAUCGGAAUAGACAUCAUUCAUGAUCCUAUAAUCCUCUUCCUGGACGAGCCGACCUCGGGGCUGGACUCCACCAGUGCAUUCAUGGUGGUGAAAGUUUUGCAGAGGAUUGCUCAGAGCGGAAGUAUCGUCAUCAUGUCUAUUCAUCAGCCGAGCUAUCGAAUUCUCGGCCUGUUGGACAGGCUGAUCUUUCUGUCCCGCGGGCACACUGUUUACAGCGGUCCUCCAACUAAUCUGCCGCAAUUUUUUUCUGAUUUCGGCCAUCCGAUUCCUGAAAAUGAGAAUCGGACUGAAUUUGCACUUGAUCUGAUUCGCGAGCUCGAGGGCUCCCCAGGAGGGACUAGAAGUUUGGUUGAAUUCAACAGAACGUGGCAAAAUAUGAAGAGAGGUACUAAUACUGCUGGUACGGGAAAUGUGGAAUCAUCUCCAACGCAUGGAUUGUCAUUGAAGGAAGCUAUAAGUGCCAGUAUUUCGAGGGGAAAAUUGGUGUCAGGUGCUACAAACACUGAUGCUAGUCCAACUUCCAUGGUUCCUAGAUAUGCAAAUCCAUUUUGGAUUGAAAUGGCAGUUUUAUCAAAAAGAUCAUUCACCAACUCGCGGCGGAUGCCGGAGCUCUUUGGCAUUAGGUGCGGAGCAGUUAUGGUGACGGGGUUCAUUUUGGCUACCAUGUUUUGGCGAUUGGACAACUCUCCCAAAGGGAUUCAAGAAAGGCUAGGGUUUUUCGCCUUCGCCAUGUCUACGACCUUCUAUACUUGCGCCGAUGCACUGCCAGUUUUCCUUCAGGAGAGGUACAUUUUCAUGAGGGAAACUGCUCACAACGCUUAUAGAAGGAUCUCCUAUUGUCUCUCUCACGCAUUGGUUUCCUUGCCUGCCCUUAUUUUCCUCUCAUUUGCAUUUGCUGCAAUUACCUUUUGGUCGGUGGGGCUGGACGGAGGGACUUCGGGGUUCUUUUUCUACUUCGCUAUAAUCUUGGCUUCCUUCUGGGCCGGCAAUUCCUUCGUCACAUUCCUGUCCGGAGUGGUCCCUCAUGUGAUGCUUGGCUACACCAUUGUGGUGGCAAUAUUAGCAUAUUUCCUCCUCUUCAGCGGCUUCUUCAUUAACCGGGACAGAAUCCCCCCUUACUGGAUAUGGUUCCACUACAUUUCCCUGGUGAAAUAUCCAUACGAAGCCGUUUUGCAGAACGAAUUCGACGAUCCGGCGAAAUGUUUCGUGAGGGGGAUCCAGAUAUUCGACAGCACCCCGCUGGGAGCCGUGCCGGAUUCGCUGAAGAUAAAGCUGCUGGCGAGCAUGAGCAACACCCUUGGCGUGAAAAUCACGAGCUCCACGUGCGUGACCACCGGCGUGGACAUAUUGAAGCAGCAAGGAGUCACUGAUCUCACCAAGUGGGCUUGCCUUUGGAUCACCAUUGCAUGGGGAUUCUUCUUUAGGAUUCUGUUUUUCUUCUCUUUGUUACUGGGAAGCAAGAACAAGAGGCGGUAAGUUCCAAAAUCCAAACGGCUACUAACGAUCCAAGAAAAUUGUAAAACUUGGUAUGGCGGGAAAUUUGCUAUCUUGUAUUUUUGGAUAUUUUUUUUUGUUUUUGAAAAUUUUUUUUUGGGGCUUUUUGUGGAAUGCACUCUAGUGGGUUUUCUUACUUUUGGUAGUUCUUUUUUUUUUUUUUUUAACUCUAAUCCAUGGAACUUGUUAGCUGUAAAACAGUUGGAAGAUGUUAUAAUAUACACAUACUAGAAUAAUUUCCUCAAUUUGGACUUUGGAUGGAUGUUGGUCAGCCUACGUUUUUGGCUCAACAAUGCAUGUGUUGGUGACCUACAUCUUCAACGGUAUACUAUUAGCACAUAGCUUUUGGUUACGUUAGGUCUCAAAAUUUUGUUGACCUAAUGACUCUUUCAAUAGAUAUGAUGAAUGAAUGAAUGAUGGUAGGCAGGUGGAUAGGAAACACACGUUCUGCAUGAAUGAAUUUGGCAUAGAUCUUUUUUGGCUUUUUGGGUACAAAAGAAAUUGAUGGUUGCAUUCAUGCUUCAUACACAACUGGUGUUGAAGAACCUACUUUCAACUCUUGAGUUUGCUGAUCUCAUAAAUUGUUGAAGUGGUAGCUGCACUUUAACUGAUGAGUUAGCUGGGGCAAUGGCAGGCAGAGUAAAUUCUCUUUGUACUUGUAAAUGACACCAUAACAAAAAAAAAAAAAAAAAAAAAACAAAAAGUAAUCCUAGUUUCCUGUUCGAAUUAAAGGAAUUACAAUACACACUUCAUAUCGUUUUGUGAUCUGCUUCGGGUUGUCUAAUUUGGAAUUAAUCUUUCACAUGCGAUAAUUAAGGAAUAAUAUUUCGUUUGACAGAAGAAAUCAGUGCUGUGGGAAAAUGAAACCAUAACAGGUUGCUUAUAAUUGACGUCUAAAUUAUGUUUCUGUUAUACCAUUCCCCGAUUUUGAGCUAUUAUGUGAACUAAAUUACGUAACAAGCAUAUUCACGUAGGCUCGAGUACGCACAACGCAUUUUUUUUUUUUUUUACAAGGAAGGGGUGGCAUUUAAGACGCCGAGAAGAAUAGGGGAUUGGAAUUUAUAACCAUUAUGUUUGAGAUUUCAAUUUUAAUCAUUAGAUCAAGACUUCCUCGUUAUAUGAACAAUGCAUAUGUAGCAAACGAAGUUGAUUUUCCAUUUCUUGAUUUUUUCCAAGGUAAUGUGACUUUGGAUUUUAGAUGAUUGGCAUGUUUAGAUUUGAUCUCUAGUUUCAAUUUAGACUAUUUUAGAUCCGUUUCCAGAUAAUUGAGGACUAAAUAUGUCGAUGCUAAAAAUUUGACUAAAUCUUUGGCAAUCCUGGCAUUUUGAGAAAUUUUAUCUCCAUUAGUUUAGCCUUUUGGCUUUGGAUUUUCUAUUAUACACUUCUUAUCCCACACCUUUAGUUUGACCCAUAUCCCUGCACUUGAGGUGAGUGAAGAUUUAUUUAUGUAAGGGGAAAAGUACUCACCGGGAUUGUGAAACUUCAGAGGUCCCUUGGAUCACUUUAGAAACUAAACAAAAAUAAAAAAUCUCUUCCUAGCCUCAUCAGCCAGUCACCCGAAAUAUAAAAACAUAAAAAUUAACUAAGAAUGAAAAAUUAUGGUUGUAGAAUAAUAUGAACAUACUGAUCCUAGUUAUUGGGGAAGACAGGAAUAGAAAAUUAGAUUUUGUAGUCCAAAAUAAAUAUAUAUAAGAGAUUCAUAUGAUCAUGAGUAUAUAAUAAAAGAAAAACAGGAUAUUAAACUCCAUAUUAUAUGGAUAACUAGGAUCAUAAAUCUUCGAUCAGAAUAUGUAUAAUGUACUAAUCCUACAAGCAGAUGAGAUUAAGGAGGGUUGAAUGUCAUUGUAAUUUUCGGAUUGUAGCUAUGCCUUGUUUGAAUUGUAGAAAAUUUUUUAUGUUUUUCAUUAAUACAUUUUUUAAUAACCUUUUAUUUUACAUAUAUCAAAUCAUUACAUAUUUUUUUUAAAAACUCUUAAGAAUAGCAAUCCAAACGAAAAUGAAUCAGAGGUCACCUAUAAUUGCUUCAUGUAUCACCUCUAACAGUUUGGCACAAUUAGAACAAAACAUUUAAUGACACUUAUACAGAAGGUUACCAAACGCUAACACAACAUUAAAGGAGAAUGAUUGCGUCAAUCCAAAUAUAGAUGAAGAAAAUUAGGCUUCUGAUUAAUGCUUAUGUUGAAACAAAGUCAAGACGUUCACGUUAAUUCGAACAAACAUUUAAUGACACAUUUUCGAUAAUUUGGCCAAAGACUUUAGACACGAGUGUGUAAGUAGCUAACACUAGUCAUUUGAUCAAAGGUUAUCGAAAAUUCUAAGUUCAAAAUUUCUGGAAAAAUCUUCAAGCUUGAGAAUAGAACUUGACCAAAUAAUUGACAAAUGAAUUAGUAGUAAAAGCCCUUUCAAGGUAGCCGACCUGGUGGUGUAGUCUCUAGUUAGAGCAUCCAUUAGAGUUCGAACCCUGUAACAAAAAUGGGGAAUAACCCAACAACCCAAAUAAGGGUUGGGGCCUGAAGUGGGGCCAGGCCCUUUUAAUUGACAAAAAAAAAAAAAAAAAUUAGUAGUAAAACACUGGCACAGGAGUGCUUGCUAGGUCAAAAAUUUAGAUGGCAUACCAAGACAUUGCAUUGCAGCUGGUAUCUAACACUGCAUAGUUGUGAUCCAUGCCGUGCUUGGAAUCUGUAUUGCACAUUCACAACAAGAUCUUGGAGGGAUUUUUUCAUGUUUAAUCGUAUUUCAUUUCUGCAAGUAAUUGUUUUGAAUAUUCAAGAAUAACUCACAACAAGUUGACUUGUGGAUUAAUUACCGCCUGUCAUAUAUGACCGGACAUAGAAUGUUGUAAAGGGUUUUGUUUGAUUACUGGAUACUGUGGACUUAUAGAGAAUCCAUUUUAGUUUCUUUGGAAAGCACUGUAAUGGAUUAAAAUCAAGGGGUGGAUUAUGUACUGUUCCAAAGGACAUGUUUCAAUUGGCAGCAAUUUGAAUUUUUCCUUGUAGCAUUAGGAAGACCAAAAGUUAAUUUUGGUUAUUUUAUUUACAAUACCCUCCUAGUCUACAAGUAACUGACGGAACACUGGUAACUGCUGACUUUGUUUCUGUAAUUCAAAGCUUGAAUUGCUACAUCAAACCUUUCUUUUAGCUCUGGAAUUGAUUGGGGUAGGAACCGGACCCUAAUUUGGACUUUUUUGAUGCAAGUUUCAACUAAGCAAAACCCAACUUUAUAAGCAACCAAUUUAAAUUUCUUGUAAAAUCUAAAGCAAGCGCAUCACGUCCAAAGUUUGGGUGCAAUUUCGUGUAGGAAUUAGCAAAAUUUCUGCCAACCAAAGCGCUUUCCCUCUUCUUGUACUACCUCUUCUCGUACUACAACUCUUUAUAGAAUUGUAACCCGCAAAGAAAAACCAAAAAUAGUGGAGCUACACUAACCUCCAAUGAGGUUUCUUAUGAUAAUUAUAGGUACCCCAUUUAGAUUUUAGACUCGCUAAUGCAUACAAUGUCAUUGUAAAAAAAAAUCAAUUUAUAAAACUCACACGCUAGAAAAACAUUCAUAAAUUAGGAUUGGUUAAGCUUUAACUCAACUGCUGACCAAUCUAGAUAAUCAAUCACAUUUUACUGCAAAAGGAAAAUGAUUGAAAACAACAGUUGUACUGUAUAAUUGUAGCUUCUUGAGUGAUUAAUAAUGCCAGUUUUAUAAAGCUUUCUGGUGGAUUUCAUGCUGAAGAUUAGGUGGUAAAUAUUUGCUGACCUAUUGUUUAAUUUGCAUGUCAUGGAAGCGCUGAAUGUUUCUAUAGCUGUUUCGUGAACAAGGGAAAAAAUGGCCCGGGAUGGUGAUUUGAGGUUUUGGGAAAAGGACACCUCCGACGGUCCACACCCAGAUUUCAUUUCAGGGUUUGUUCAAGGCUUCAAGCCUCCCAAGUCUCUUCUUUAACCUCAGUUGUGAAGAUUUUUUGUCAAACCCAAAAAGGGGUUAGCCGCGUCGGCCAAAUUCUACAGCAAAAUAAAAAUUUUAAACAAUUAACAAAGUUUCUUUGCAUUUUGGAAUAGAUCCAAGUAUUCAUCCUUAUCAGUAAGAAAAAUCUUUAUUAAAUAUGAAAACUACGAAUGGAUCGUUGACAAAUUCUUUAGGUAUUCAUUUUUCUCGAUCCUUUUGUUCUUGGGAAAACGAAGGGACGAUCAGCUUUGAACCUUGACGUCUUGCCUUAGUGAUUAGAGCAGUGGGGAUUUGACUAUAGUGCCGGUAGCUGUCAUCUGAGUAAUGACGAGUAGUAAAAGAGGUCAAGAGGUAGUUCGACUAAGACUAAAUUCUUGCAACCCGUGCUUUUUGGUUGCUUCCUUCAAUUCGGAAAAUGAUUGAUUACCCAUUCCAUAUAUUUCAAUCCGUCUUAAGUCCCAACUCUCAACUGCAAUUAAUGUAGUCCCAUUCAGCAAAAGGGAAACAAAAACAGACCCAGCAGCAGCUCUACUUUUCUAAGCCGAAAAUUCACCUCAAGUUGCUGAUUGUUAUGCCGCACGAAUCGAUGAUACUUACAAUUUCUCACUUCAUUUAUUAGCUUGAUUGUACUGCCAACUGAACAUAUGGUACAGUUUGCCAACUAUCCCUAAAUAUCAUUAGCUCAUAGCUUUAUUACAAUUUAUACGACGGAAUAAGGGAUUCAUGCAGUAUAUUUAGAUUCACAAUCUAAAUGGAUUAUCGAUAAAUUUGGUACUAGGUCUAGGUAUAUGUACCUGUAUUUGAUUCACAAUCUAACUUGCUAGAAAUUUGGUGGUGUUCGAGACCUACUCUUACUCUGCACUGGGGGCCGGGGGAGAAUCCAAAGGGUCAAGGGAAAAAUUCGGAAACUAAACUACCACUGGUCCAGACAGCUGCAUACUCAUCCGUUGGCGAAAUUAUUGGUUGUUACGAUACUUUGGUUUCGAAACAUGUUACUAACGGAUAUUCUCCUCCUCCGGAACAAACAUACCAUAUUUUUGCAGUCCAUCUCUACCCAUUCUUGCCAAUUCACGAACCGAAAAUUUCUCCAUGUUUUCUAUGUCAGCGAAUUAGAUACUUUGUGAUAAUCUAAUGUAUCAUCAUUCCUCACGUAUGAUUAUUAGUAUAUGAAGGAGCAAUUUGCAAACCAUUAACCUAGGAGAUGCCUAGAUGGCACUGAUUCACAAGUCAUAGCCAUAUUAAUCAUUGUGUUUUUGCAAAAUACAAGGUCCAAAUUCCAACCAUAUAGGAAGGAAUAAACUGCACAAGGUCCAAAUUCUAACCAUAUAGGAAGGAAUAAACUCCAACAUCAUGGCACCAUAAAACUGCUUACGAUUAUUUUUAUUUUUUUUUGGAUUCUUAUCUGGAGAUAAUCUUCCACAAAUAGUAGUAUAUUGGUUUGUUUGAAUAGUGAGUUAUUUGUCAAAAUUUAUUUGUUUUUGCUGCAAGUUCUUAGCUCUGUAGCAUAUGAAUAAAAUGCGAGAGCUAGAGUGAGUUCCAUGGCACCGUAAUUCUGUGAGUCCACAGCUAAUGUAUUGAAGACGAUUCGAGAUGAAAUUAUAUCAAAUAGGAUUAUGUCUGCGUCAUGAUAUACAAGUUUAGAUUGUGAUUUUCUGCCAAAAUUUUUUUUACAUUUCCGUGAACACAUUUUUCAAUCACUUUUUUAUCUCACAUAUAUCAAAUCAAUCAUUUUUUUUACCUCACAUACAUCAAAUCGCUAUAAUACAUUUUCCUACAAAAUGUCGUAAAAAUAGCAGUUCAAACAGGUUUUUAAAGUAAGUCGAGAACAAUGAUGAGCAUACAUAUCCAGUGUGGAGAUGCAGAACACACUGCGCUGCUGCCAACACAAUUGCUUGAGCUUGAACACUAAAACACGAGACCAUGAGGCAUGAUUACUCAUAAUACACCGAUGUGAAGAUCAAUGACAAGGUAACAACGACAUAAUCAGGUCAGGAACCAGAAAUUGUAUUCAUCAAUCCCACACUGAACAAGAUCGAUCAUUUUAAGCGAGGAAUAACGUGCAGUUCAUACUAAUGAGUAAUUGUUCUUUAAGGGUUCUAACAUCAACGGUACACAAGAUAGGCACCUAUAUUAUUCAAGCUGGGUAAUGAAAAUCUCUUUCUUUCUUUCUUUCUUUUUUAAAUACCACAGCCAAUUCAUAUAAAAAUAUACAAGCAGGCGACAGAGAUUUGAAAA
rnacentral:lncRNA from 1 species